AAAUAGCUCCGCCAAGCCUAAAAAUAGCCUCCCUCUGAAUGCAGCCAGCCACAAAUACAGAGCUGCACUAUCGUUUUACUCACCCUGAAAGAGAGAGAGAGCCUGUCCCAAUGCUUAACAGUUUCAUUAUGUGAGGAGUGCGUCACUAUGAGGUGGAAAAGGAAUGAAAAAAAGAGGGAAAAAAUUAAAGAAAGGAAAGGAAAGAAAGAGUGAGGCCGUAGUUGGCAGGGGAAAACGGUUACCAGAGGGGAUUAUGGGGUUCGGGAAACAAGAGCGAUGACUCCACGCCAGACCUUUUUCCACUCCUCCGCUCUGGCCCGUUUGCACAGGACACACACACACAAACCAGGAGCGUGUGACGCAGCCAGACUCGGUCGGGCUCCUGUGGCCUGGUUCUCAGAGGCAGCACUGACUGGACUCUUUGUCUCAGCGGCGGAGUUAAAAAUAAAACCCGGGAAAGAGUUUGGCCAGCAUUAUACCAGUGUUAGUGAUACGUUUCACAGACGUCUGGGGAAUAGAGACCCCUCUUACACACUCAGAUGCAUACGGACACACUCACACACCUCUCUCGGGGGCUGAACUCGCCAUGAACUUGGAUGUGAAACACAUCCCAAAGCAAUGGCCUGCAGUGUUUUCUGGCCCGGAUGGGACCGUCCACAAAACCGCCACCUCAUGACGGAACACUUAUAUCACAUUGCGCAACUCAAACACACAUGCAAAUUCAAUAUACGUCCAUGUAAACACGCAGCUCUCAUACAGCCGCAAUGGUAAAUAUGAUUCGCCUUUUCCUUCAGAUUAGUAAGAAAGAAAAAAUAGGGCAUUUUAUAAUGGAGAUUUUAGGAACGAUUAUGAAAUGUAAAACUCACAGAUAACUUUUCACCCAACACUACCUUGUUCUCUGAAGUGUGCAGUGAUUCUGAACACACCACUUUGAGCCCUUUCUUUUCACAAAUAUGUUAUAUGCCACAUAUUAUAUGAAAACAAAAGCCAUAAAAGUUAAUAAAAUGUAGUAUUUAUCAGUUAAGGAUGUACUAUCGCAUAGCUGUUUGAAAAAAAUAAAUAAAUUUUUUUUUAGAA